rnacentral:rRNA from 1 species
AUUGAACGCUGGCGGCAUGCCUUACACAUGCAAGUCGAACGGCAGCACGGGAGCAAUCCUGGUGGCGAGUGGCGAACGGGUGAGUAAUAUAUCGGAACGUGCCCAGUCGUGGGGAUAACGUAGCGAAAGCUACGCUAAUACCGCAUACGAUCUACGGAUGAAAGCGGGGGGAUCGCAAGACCUCGCGCGAUUGGAGCGGCCGAUAUCAGAUUAGGUAGUUGGUGNGGUAAAGGCUCACCAAGCCGACGAUCUGUAGCUGGUCUGAGAGGACGACCAGCCACACUGGGACCUGAGACACGGCCCAGACUCCUACGGGAGGCAGCAGUGGGGAAUAUUGGGACAACUGGGCGCAAGCCUGAUCCAGCCAUGCCGCGUGCAGGAAUAAGGUCCUA